rnacentral:rRNA from 1 species
GACAGAGGUGGCAAGCGUUGUUCGGAUUUACUGGGCGUAAAGAGAGCGUAGGCGGCCGUGUAUGUCGGGUGUGAAAUCUCUCGGCUUAACCGAGAAACUGCAUUCGAAACUGCACGGCUAGAGGACAGGAGGGGGAAGUGGAAUUCCCGGUGUAGCGGUGAAAUGCGUAGAUAUCGAGAGGAACACCUGAGGUGAAGACGGGUUGCUGGGCCGACACUGACGCUGACAGCGCGAAAGCCAGGGGAGCAAACGGG